rnacentral:lncRNA from 1 species
CUGGACUGUUUCUGAUGGACCAAAAUGUGUAGGGUUCGAUAUCUUUUUUUAUUGUUAUUUUGGUUAGGUAAUUUAUGCAUAUGAUAUUCACUGUUGUGACCAUGAGGUCAUGGGUUCAAGUCCUGGAAACAGCCUCUUACAGAAAUGUAGGGAAAGGCUGCGUACUAUAGACCCAAAGUGGUCGGACCCUUCCCUGGACCCUGCGUAAGCGGGAGCUACAUGCACCAGGUUGCCCUUUUUUUUAUAUUCACUGUUGUGCAGAUCGGUUUUUUCAGCAUCACUAGAGUCAAGGAGGCUUCCCUUGGACUGGUGCUAUGCACGCCCAUCAUAUUUUAUUUAGGUUAUGCCCAGAACUCUAAUAAGUGGAGCUUAGCAGUAGCAUACAGUGACUUAUUACUGGAUUUCACUGUUAUAAGCACAUACUUAUAAAUAUUAAAUCAUGACGCAAACUGUAUAUUUAAGAAUUGUCCCCAGUAUCCACCUUAUUAUUUUGCUUGUUGUUAGGCUAUAGAAAGUGUUGCUGCAACUUGGAAUUUGGUCGUAGCAUGCUCUUUCACUAUUCUUUGUGUCUUUUUUAUCAAUGUAUUAAUGUCAAGUCACUGUAUACACUCCUGUUUUGAAACAACAUUGACGUACUGAUGAGAUUUUAUUUUCUCUUGUUUUGAAACAGGAGUCUGGACUGGAUACACUCCUUCUCUUUUGUCCCGUGUGAUAAAAGAUUUAUAGCUUAUAAUAUCACAACAAUGUAUACAACUGUGCAAACAUACAUAUUCAUUACUGCUGAACUUGUAACUGCAGUAUUGUGUAAUUCUAUAUAUCCAUUCAUCUUGUUUUUUCCAUAUUGCAUUUGGGAUCAUAGUAGAGGUUCAUCUGAGGUAUUUCUUCUUUUUGAAAAGAAAGCAUAAAAGCGUUCUAGAUCUUCAGUAUUGUGUAACACCUAGAUACUCAUUCAUGCUGUCUUUGUUUUCUCUUUUUUAACUGAAGAAACACUUAAUCUUAGGUUUUAAAACAGUUUCUGCUUAUUUUUCAGUGCCAUUUAGAAGAUUUUGGUGGCCAGAGCACAAAGCAAGUCACUGAACCAUGCUCAUGGUCUGCUGGAAUAUCACACUAAAACUUCAUGCUUGUAAGUUUCCUCAUUUGUGAACCCUGAAUGAUUAACCUCAUACAAACCAGACAUCAAAUAUAUUUCAGUACAUAGUAGUCGUGCAAAACUUGCAUCUGUCAUAUUAGGAACUCAUUGUUGUCGAUAUGUACAUGUUAACUGAUGUUGGGCCUCCACAACCCACUACUGGCAUGACUAAAAGAGCCAGUCUUACAUCUUUUGUUAGGGAAACUACUAUACAUCUUAGACUUGUGGAGUAAUUUACAAGAUGCACAUACAAAUCUCUUCGGCACCUGAACAAAAUCACUAAUUCCAACACACCUAGUGUGCUGCCACACAUGGCAUGAGUCACAAGAUAGCAUCCUCUCACCAUCAUCAUCCUUCGCUCCACAUGAACAAUUAACUGUCCAUUGGUCUACACCCCUCUCCAUCCGAUAAAUUGCAACCCUGCGCUCACCUCCGACGCACUUGCCUUGGAUACUGACAGUCCCUUUUGCUCCAAAUAAGAGCUUGACUUGAGUUGUGUCAUCUGCAGUUGGACAAUCAAGAAGCUGGUUUGCUACAAAGCUUUGUAGCAUCAAGUAGAUACUUUGGAAUGUUCUCACAGCCUCCAUCUUCAGAUCAGCAACAGUAGCCGUUUGCGUUAGUGUUAAAAGUUCUGCUGGGAGGCUGGGUGGAUCACCAACCUGAUCCAAUAGCUCCACUUGGCACCAGAUGUGCAGCACAGAUUGGUUUUGAGGCAAGAAAUCCUCUUCCAUGUCAUAAUGCUUGAUGAACUGCUUGCAGUCCAAAAGGACCAUCGCAGAUCUAUUGGCAUGUUCAUGAAUAUGUUCUGGCUUAUAAGGUGGCAUUGUAUGAGGGUUGAGGAGCGCGUCAUAGAGGAACUUGAUGUCACGGAAAAGGUGAUCCCGAGUUGGCAUGCUCGCAUUCUUUGGUGGCAAGAUUUCAUCUGUGAGCCUGCAAUGAGUAAAAGAACAGUUAGCCUUUUGAUCAUAGAAACAAGAACUAGGCUAGUUAUGCAAGUCACAACCAAUAUCUGAGUCACGAACCUGUACUCUAUUGUGUUUGUCUCACUGUUGCAUCGAACUACAACAACCAUCCCAUCAUAGGUUCUUGUACCACCAAUGGUCUUGAGGCAGUAAUCGACCAGCUGUGGUGAACCAAUUGGAUGAGCUGUAGCUGCCUUUAGGGUUCGCAUAGCCACCCACCUAUCUACAGCACGGAGAACUUUCAGCGCAACAUCCAUCGCUUGCUUUAUUUUCUCAUCAGCCCAGUUUUCCUCUUUGAAAUUGGCAUCAUAUGCUAGCUCCCUCUUGUGCAUUGUCACAAGGUGGGUAUGCACACUUUUGCCAGCAGCAAGCCCCAAGACAUAGAGGAACAGAUCACAGAAUGUGGUGAGAGGGCGCUUUGAGAGCGAUUGAUAGAAAGCAAUGGUAUCCUGCAGUUGGUUUCGAGGAUAUCGGGAGUGGGGAAAGAAGUGAGAGAGUGACACUGAGGAGAGGUUUUCAAUGGCUUUGCUGUAGGUUUCAGAUGUAAUUCCGAAGCUCCCACUUCCGAGUUUGAAUCCCCACUGCCCAUACCAAGAACAGCCAGUGGCAAUGGCAUGUAGAACCCGGUAGUCAACUUCAAACUUCUUUGAGACAUCCAACACUGAAACCUUUCUGAAAUUAAUCAUGUACUCUUAUGUUAGUACCAUUUCCCAACAAAUUACAGAAAGGUAGGCUGUUCCUACUCAACAUAAAUGUGUAAAUUUGCCUUUUAUACCUGACUCUUAGGUAUGUGCAAAGACGAUCCCAAAAGUCCAUCAGUUGGUAUCCUGUCAAGAGGCUGGAACCACCUUCAUGGCCGUUAAUUCGUACAAGAUGGCCAAACCC